AAAAUACUGCAAAUCAUCCAAAUUGCUUUUAUAAUUGCUUGAAAAGUUGUCUGAGAAAUUUGAAUUCGACUCUUAUGUAACGAACAUUUACCUACAUUGGAACGUCAGGGUUGUCCUGAUGAGUUUUACUUUUCCUCGAAAAGCUAUGAAGCGCUUAAACGAUGAAGAGCUCAUUUCCUCGACAACUUGUAGAUAUAUAACUCUCGUGACCAUGCAAGUAAAGAUGGAUGCCCAACGUUUUGCAUUUGCGACACCACC
rnacentral:lncRNA from 1 species